AUGCCCCUAGGGGCGCAGGCCCCGCCCACCACCGCUCGAACCGGAAGCGCGCUGGGCGGCCGGCUCGCACUGGGCAUGCGCGGAAGCCGUCCGCACGUCCGGCGCGCGCAGGCGCCCAAGCCCCAGGCAGCGCCGGGUCCAGUUUUCCCUUCCGGUUUCCAUCCACCUUCUCCGCGGAGUCCUGUUCCCGCUGCAGGUGACCCGCUCCCCAACCCCCGGGGUCAGGGGUCAGAUGUGACCUGCCCGGCCCAGCCCUGGGGUUGGGACAGUGAGUGCUGCUGUUGGUGUGGAAGUGGAUGUUGCCUGUCACCCCCCGUCCUGACCCUUCCAGAGCAGUAGGGUGUGUACUUGUGAAGCCUGAAAACACUUACUUUAAAAGAAGAGAGAGGCUGAGACGCGUGUGUGCCUCUCGCUUGACCACAAACGUUCAGCCCAGUGGCACUGGACUAGCUUCCACCCUCCGUGGCUGCCGGAAGAUGCCGUGUCCUUGUAUGCGAGUACUCUCCUCCUGGCUUCUUUCCAUGAAUUCGGGACAGUGCAGAGUGACCCCUGAGCCCAGCCCACCGUGUGGGGCGGCAGCGGGAGAGCGGAGUGCCGGGAGGGACAUUUAGUGAAGGCAGGGUCUUCACUGUGUCCUCACGUCCUGAGAUGUCCCACGGGAUCCUCCCGAGUCCAAGGCAGCGAGUCACCUCUGUGCUUCCUUAUUAAAGUCAUCGUUCCUGUACUGUACAAGUAGCUCCGUGGGGUUUGGACGUGCCCUGUGCAGUGGUUCCUGUUGAAUAUGACCCCAGUUUACAGACUGGGAAAGCAAGGUGAAGAGAUUAAGUCAUUUUUCAAAGGUCACUUAUAGCAGUGAAGCCAAGACACAAGCAGUAAUUCACAGCUUGCGUUCAGUCCUCUAGUCUAACUCACCUCCGCUGCUCUGGACCAUGAUCCGUCCUAGCAGCCUUCCAAGGAGACAAAAGGCAGAAACCUGCCGGCAUCAAAUACUGACAGCAUGCCUUUGGCCCCAUCAUUUGGUUUUCUCUGCAUAAUGGAGGUAAUAGUGGUACUUUAUAAGUUGGUCCUGAGGAUUAAGUAAAAUAAUUAGUGUCAAGUGCUUGAUCUGUAGUGGGUGUUCUUUACAUGGGGGCUUUUGUAAGUAUAUGCUAGUUAGAUUUCCACAACAUGGCAUAUGUUUUCAUGGAAAUAGGGUUUACAUUAUUGCAAUCUGGUAAAAGAUUUAUAAUUCCAGCCUCACGUCCAGAAAGGGAACCUGAACGACUGUAGUUUGAAUUGUUCUUAGUGAAUUGUUCUUAAUGAAAUUCCAGUUCUCAAAUAAUCACCUAAAGUCAGUACUUAAGAACAGUCGUAAGGUGGGACACCUGGGUGGCUCAGUCGGUUAAGCAUCUGACUCUUGAUUUCAGCUCAGGUCAUGAUAUCAGAGUUGUAGGAUUGAGCCCCGGUAGGGCUCCAUACUGGGCAUGCAGCCUGCUUGAGAUUCUCUCUCUUCCUCUCCUUCUGCUCCCCCAACCCUGCUCAUUUGUAUUUUUGCUCUCUCUCUCUCUCUCUCUCUCUUUGUGUGUGUGUCUCAAAAACAAAAACAAGGGGCACCUGGAUGGCUCAGUGGUUUAACAUCUGCCUUCGGCUCAGGGUGUGUCUGGGGUCCAGGGAUCAAGUCCCACAUCAGACUCCCCACAGGGAGCCUGCUUCUCCCUCUGCCUGUGUCUCUGCCUCUCUCUGUGUCUCUCAUGUCAUGAAUAAAUAGAUAAAAUCUUUUUAAAAAUGAUCA
rnacentral:lncRNA from 12 species